rnacentral:miRNA from 1 species
GACUCACGUCGACUGGGUGUCCGC